UACGUAGGUGGCAAGCGUUAUCCGGAUUUAUUGGGUGUAAAGAGCGUGUAGGCGGGAAUGCAAGUCAGAUGUGAAAACUCAGGGCUCAACCCUGAGCCUGCAUUUGAAACUGUAUUUCUUGAGUGCUGGAGAGGCAAUCGGAAUUCCGUGUGUAGCGGUGAAAUGCGUAGAUAUACGGAGGAACACCAGUGGCGAAGGCGGAUUGCUGGACAGUAACUGACGCUGAGGCGCGAAAGCGUGGGGAGCAAACAGG
rnacentral:rRNA from 1 species